ensembl:lncRNA
GGGCAUGCAUUUGGAAGAAAUAGUUACAGGUGAGGAGCCCUUCCCCGCCCAGCUCAAAAUGAUCACAUCUGAGUCAGAACCAGGCACCAAUACCAUUCCAUUGUGUGUGCAGCUGAUUUCUUAUGCAUCGUCUUGGUAGUUUAAUUAGCUUUACAAUGGCCGGUCUCAUCUCCUGUAAUAGUUCAGCCAAGCACUGGACAUUUGUUGGAUAAGCUGCAGCAAGCUGCGUGCAUGAGGUCUACAUGUUGUCAUCUAGUGUCUCAAGGAGCUAAGCAGCCUGUACUCACUGAGCUUGGAUCAUUGCACAUUGUCUGUCAAUCAGCUACUUCUUGAAGGAAAGACUAGAAAUCCUUGUUCUCUCUUUUGUAGGACUGAGGUGGCGUCCACCUCUGCUUCCUCAGGAUUGUCUUUACCAUUCAGAGGAGCCGUGUUGUAGGACCAGAAGGGAUCCUGGCACAGAGGUGACUUUGUUGCUGCCAGUGACUAGCAGCUGCUUUGCUGAUGAGCACCAUGGCCAUCCAUGCCCAGUGCUCUCAAAACAGCUUGAGUAGCCUUUGUCCACUGAGGGUUCUCAAAGACCCAUCGCGUGGCCCACUUCAGACGCCGACAAGAGAACAGACUCUGCCUGCCAUGGCAGUGUGAGCUGACUUAGAUCUGGUGCGUCUGGGCUCCCUGGGUCUCUCUCCACUUUCACUGUCCCUUGCUUACCUUUCCUGAGGUCAGACUGAGAGAGAUUUAAAACCAUAUGAGAACUCUGAAACGUAUACAUCUUUCACCCAGCAAUUUUACUUCCUAGAAUUUAUUGUAAUAAAAUAUUUACAAAUGCAUAGCUAUUCACUGAAUUCUUAUUUAUGAUAAAAAAUUAGAAAUAAUCUAAACAUCCAUCAGCAGGGGAUUGCUCACAUAAACAACGUGAGCAUCUAGGGAACGUCACACGGCAGAUGUGGAGUAUUAGGUGGAUCUGCAGGUCCAUCAGUUGCAUGAACAGUAUCUGAACAACGGCAAAGUCACAGGUCAGCAGGCACAGUUCGAUGCCAUUUCUGUAAGGUAACAACAAAGUGAAACCACGUAUUUUGAUAAGUGUGACCGUAUGAAUAUCCACGCAGAGAAACACGCCUGGAAGGAUUGAAGCCAAACUGGGAAUAGUUCUCUCUGUGGGGGGACGGGGACCGAGGGUUCUGGGAAAGAGUUCACUCUACCUAACAGUGAAUGUUUGCUCUGUGGGAAUGUGUUCGUGCUCACUUGUGUAACUAAAAAUGAAUAACAAUUUUUAAAAGAAAAAUAAAUAAAAUGAAGGAGAUGGAUUAAAAAGAAACCCAACAUAGAGAAAUCGGCAGUUCCGUGGAUCCACUCGGGACUCCACGCGCAGACAGCCCCAUAUAGGCCAGCCCGGCUCCCCAGCACCUCCACGCACAGCAUCCAGGGCUGUUCGGGAGCCACGUGCUGUCCUGGAUGCAGGGCCACUAGUUCUCAGCUGGCAAAUUAAGAGAGACAAUGAUAACGAUCAGCUCUGUUUAGCACGAGGGGCAUGAAGGAUGGAUGGGAGAUGAAGGGAAGGAAAAACACUUCUCCUCUUCCCACCCUAGGUUCAUUGACCAGCGCUCACUUCAGGAUGGGAGACUCGGUAAAGAUUGCUCCUGUUCUGUGUGCAGAUUAGGCUAAAAAGACAGAUUAGCAGGAGAAAAACAGUCGGAAAUUUACUACUGCGUGCACCCGAGCAUGCACACAGAGAACUCGUUGAUGAGUAACUCAGAGGGGUGGUUAGAAAUGGGGCUUCUAUAGCAUCUUAGCAAAGAACAAUAAAUCUGUAGAGAAGUGACAAGAAAAGGAAAGGGACUUUGAGCUUCUGGGAAGCUAAACAGAGGGGAACUAACCGAAGCUGAGGGUUGUGUUAGCGAGGUUUGUCACGUAGAUUCCUCGUGGAUUCCUCGGGGGCAGUCCCGGGGUUGGCCAGAAUCUAGAGUUGUCUUGUGAUUAAGAAUCAUCCUGCCCUUCCUGGUAGUUCCUGUGUCUGCUUCUUCUCUAUUGCCUUCAGCUCAAAAUAUCCUUAUGCCAGAGAGGCAUACUUUGGGGUGGCAUGCUCUAAGGGCAGAGACUAUGGGUAAAAUCUUGAGUGUGCAGAGAGGAAUGAAGGUAUCGUUCUGGAGUGUGAAGAAGGUUGUGCUGCAGCCGGCCGCAGGAGAACCACCUCUCAGAUUCAUCCCCACUCCCCCGAGAGUGAGGACCCCGAGAGCCUUCCUGGGCACAUUCUGGCAUCCAGAGCUGGGCAGGCCUUCAAAAUCUUUAUUUCAUCUGCUCUUGCUCUUACAGGAACAACAGGGAAACAGGCCAGGCUUUGGGGGUCACAGACGUCUUGAACCGCACCCUGAACCUGCUGUGGAAGGCAGUUCUCACGUGGGACCACGGCUGCUUUGGGCAGUCCCUUCUCUUCACAUCCCGUGUCCACACUGGCGAGGCCGGUCCUUCGGCGCCCUCUGCCGUGGGAGGAGGGCACUGCGGGUGGUCUGGGGCCAGCUCUUCAAGAGGCCUCAGCUGUCUUUGAGGAACAGGAUCCACGGAAGCCAAGCGGCUUUGGUGGUUGUUAGCUUUUCACACACGUUUCAGCUGGAGACGUUUGCUCUUAGGCGUCUCCUUGCUUUGUCCAGCGCUAGUCUCCUGAUUUCUUUUGUACGCAAUGCAUGGUUGCCACAAUGGACGGAAUGCGUCCCCUCAAAAUUCGCGUGUUGAAACUCUAAUUCCAGCGUGCUGGUGUCUGGAGGCGGGGCCUUUGGGAGGUGGCGAGGUCUUGUGAAUGGGAUGAGUGUCCUUAUAAACGAGGCCCCAGCGAGCUCUCUGGCCCCUUCUGCCCUGUGAGGACGCAAGGCGAGGUCAGCAGUCUGCCACCUGGAGAAGGGCUGGCUCCGUGAUCUCAGUCUUCCGGCCGCCAGAACUGUGAGAAGUAAGUCUGUGUAGUUUAUAAGCUGCCCAGCCCGUGGGGCUUUGUUGUAGCAGAUCGAACGGAGACGAUCGCUUCACUACAGACGCUUAAGGAAGGAGCAUCGUGCUCGCGACAGCUGGGUCUCUGUUGUUUUCCACCUUCUCCGUCCCUGACUGUGCUCAGGCAGGUGUGUCGGGACCUCCUGAGAGCGUGUGGGUCACAUGACGUGUUUCGGGGACACAUGGUCGUGCUGGCCACCUGGCUUGGCUUAGCGUAGGUACAAGCGCUACCUUCCUGAUAUCUUGAUGGCGCCUACAAUUGAUCGCAGGUGGAAUAGUGUGAACGAAGCAGGGUGGGAGGACCUGGUCCCACCAGUUCCAAAGACAGUUUGUGUGCGGCGUGGGAUGUCCGUUUAUUCCGUGGUCAGUGCCUGACCGUGGGAGCUUCUGUGAGACCGUCGGUCCGCUGACGCCCGGCAUUUAUUCCUCGGUCCGUCCCUACUGAUGACGCAGCUGGACUUGUGUGAAGGUCUCCUCUUAUCAUUAGAGACAGUAUUGUGACCAUAUGGUCCUUUUAUUUCUGCUGGAUAUCUCAUGGGAAACCGGCAGGUCUUCUCAGGGAUCCUACAGCUGCAAAAAGAGUCUUGGAAAUUUCAGAAGUAAAACAAUGAAGUAAUUCCAGCCUCUUGGGUCUUUUGUUACACCAGAGAGACUUUUCUCUGCGAUCGAGGAAGUUGUCUCAUGCACAGGAAAAUUUGAUCUCAGCUUAUUCUAAUUUUGGUACAUUACUGUCUCAGAGCUGAGGCCUGAGUUCCUACCAUUAGUAAAAUCACUCUUUGGGGGUGAUUCUGGCCCCAAUUAAAAUAUAUUUGGGGGUACUACCUGGCCUGUUGUUCAUUACUGACAUCUGGUCAAGAUGCUUCCUGGAACCAGCCAAGUGGUACAGGAGAGGACAGUACAGAGCGGGUGAGACGCAGAGCGUGCACGCUGACGAGGACAGGAAGCCACAGUCGGAGCCCAGGCUGCAGGGAGAGUGGAUUGACACACUUCUGAAGAUUCUGAAGCCGGGUACCUGAAGGUCACUGCAAAUAUUCAAUAACAUUACCUUUCGACCUUGCAAUGCUGUUCCCAACACAGACAUAGAUGAAAAGAAGUUAAUCUUGCCAAUUUGCUGUUUUCCUGUUUACCCUGAGGGGUGAUUCCCGGGUCAGAGGAUUAAGGAGCUUGCUCUACAGAAGAAGAGAAUGCCCUCAAGGACCACCAGACGACAGCCCCCAGCUGCUGCUGCUGACGCCCAAAGUCAGAUUGCUCAAGGGUGUAUCUGGAGUGAAAGAAACACAGAUUUCCCCCAUGUUUCUCUGAAACCCCUCCUGCCGGGCCCCUCAGCUCUCUAACCCCCCCCCACCUUCUUCUCUUGUUAAGGUGGAUUUGGGGGAACCCGUCCCCUCACCUUCUUGUUUUGGCCAAUUUGAAUAAACCUUUCUCCAUCUCCAAG